AGAGUUUGAUCCUGGCUCAGGAUGAACGCUAGCUACAGGCUUAACACAUGCAAGUCGAGGGGCAGCAUGGACCCAGCUUUGCUGGGUUUGAUGGCGACCGGCGCACGGGUGAGUAACGCGUAUCCAACCUGCCCUUUACUCCGGGAUAGUCUCCUGAAAGGGAGUUUAAUACCGGAUGUGUUUGUCUUUCCGCAUGGGAGCGACAAAUAAAGAUUAAUUGGUAAAGGAUGGGGAUGCGUCCCAUUAGCUUGUUGGCGGGGUAACGGCCCACCAAGGCGACGAUGGGUAGGGGUUCUGAGAGGAAGGUCCCCCACAUUGGAACUGAGACACGGUCCAAACUCCUACGGGAGGCAGCAGUGAGGAAUAUUGGUCAAUGGGCGGGAGCCUGAACCAGCCAAGUAGCGUGAAGGACGACGGCCCUACGGGUUGUAAACUUCUUUUAUAAGGGAAUAAAGUUCGCCACGUGUGGUGUUUUGUAUGUACCUUAUGAAUAAGCAUCGGCUAAUUCCGUGCCAGCAGCCGCGGUAAUACGGAAGAUGCGAGCGUUAUCCGGAUUUAUUGGGUUUAAAGGGAGCGUAGGCGGGCUUUUAAGUCAGCGGUCAAAUGUCGUGGCUCAACCAUGUCAAGCCGUUGAAACUGUAAGCCUUGAGUCUGCACAGGGCACAUGGAAUUCGUGGUGUAGCGGUGAAAUGCUUAGAUAUCACGAAGAACUCCGAUCGCGAAGGCAUUGUGCCGGGGCAUAACUGACGCUGAGGCUCGAAAGUGCGGGUAUCAAACAGGAUUAGAUACCCUGGUAGUCCGCACGGUAAACGAUGAAUGCUCGCUAUGGGCGAUAUAUUGUCCGUGGCCAAGCGAAAGCGUUAAGCAUUCCACCUGGGGAGUACGCCGGCAACGGUGAAACUCAAAGGAAUUGACGGGGGCCCGCACAAGCGGAGGAACAUGUGGUUUAAUUCGAUGAUACGCGAGGAACCUUACCCGGGCUUGAAUUGCAGGUGCAUGAGUCAGAGAUGAUUCUUUCCUUCGGGACUCCUGUGAAGGUGCUGCAUGGUUGUCGUCAGCUCGUGCCGUGAGGUGUCGGCUUAAGUGCCAUAACGAGCGCAACCCUUCUCCCCAGUUGCCAUCGGGUAAUGCCGGGCCCUCUGGGGACACUGCCAUCGUAAGAUGCGAGGAAGGUGGGGAUGACGUCAAAUCAGCACGGCCCUUACGUCCGGGGCCACACACGUGUUACAAUGGGGGGUACAGAGGGCCGCUGUCCGGUGACGGUCGGCCAAUCCCUAAAACCCCUCUCAGUUCGGACUGGAGUCUGCAACCCGACUCCACGAAGCUGGAUUCGCUAGUAAUCGCGCAUCAGCCAUGGCGCGGUGAAUACGUUCCCGGGCCUUGUACACACCGCCCGUCAAGCCAUGAAAGCCGGGGGUGCCUGAAGUCCGUGACCGCGAGGGUCGGCCUAGGGUAAAACUGGUGAUUGGGGCUAAGUCGUAACAAGGUAGCCGUAAGGGCGAAUUCGCGGCCGCUGAGUUCAAUGCUGUGUGGAAUGGUGCGACAUCCCCC
rnacentral:rRNA from 1 species